rnacentral:lncRNA from 1 species
UGCAAACAAGAACAAAAAGAAAAAAAAAACAAAACCCCAAACUCUUAUCAGAGUAGUCUAUUUAGAUUGGUUUAAAUUAGGAGAGUAAACUGCAAUGCAGAAAUGUAACAAUCUGGCCGGGCGCAUUGGCUCACGCCUGUAAUCCCACCACUUUGGGAGGCCGAGGCAGGCAGAUCACUUGAGGUCAGGAGUUCGAGACCAGCCUGGCCAAAAUGGUGACGCCUCGUCUCUACUAAAAAUACAAAAACUAGCCGGGCAUGGUGGCGGGCGCCUGUAAUCCCAGCUACUCAGGAGGUUGAGGCCCAAGAAUCACCUGAACCUGGAAGGCGGAGGUUGCAGUGAGCCAAGAUCACACCACUGCACUCCAGCCUAGGUGACACAGUGAGACUCCAUCUCGAAAAAAAAAAAAAGAAAUAUCAUAGCAAUCUGACAAUAUGUACCUGGAACUUUACAAAAGGUUCUUAUCCUUUGAUCCAACCAGUAAUUCCACUUCCAAAAGCCUGAGAAAACAUUUUAAUGCAAAGAUUUUUGCAUUAUUUAUGUUCUUACAGUUUAUUCAUAGCAAAAACUAGAACAACCUCCAUGUCCAACAGUGGAAAAAUAAUUACAGAAUGUCAUACAACGGAAUAUUACACAGCCAUUAAAAAUGUUUAAGAAUGACAAGAAAAAAUGUUUUCAAAAUUACAUUUAGUGAAAUAAAUAAGGACAAAAAGUUACAGAAUAUAUUAACUGUAUCUGUGUGUCUAGGACUGAAAUUACACCAAAUGUGCUUAUCCCUGAGAAGCAUGACUAAGGGUAAUUUGUUUUGUAGUUAUUUUUCAAGAUUUUAGAAGGAAUAUAUAUUUUGGCCGGGUGUGGUGGCUCACACCUGUAAUCCCAGCACUUUGGGAGGCCGAGGCGGACAGAUGACCUGAGGUCAGGAGUUCAAGACCAGCCUGGCCAACAUAGGGAAACCCCCAUCUCUUCUAAAAAUACAAAAAAAUUAGCUGGGCGUGGUGACACGCACUUGUAAUCCCAGCUACUCAGGAGGCUGAGGCAGGAGAAUCACUUGAGCCUGAGAGGCAGAGGUUGCAGUGAGCCAAGAUCAGGCCACUGUACUCCAGCCUGGGCGACAGAGCGAGACUGUGUCUCAAAAAAAAAAAAACUUUAAUUCUUCAGAUUUCUCUAAAAUCAAAUAUGUAUUCUAUCUGUUAUUUUAUAAUUGUAGUAACACUGAACAACAUUUUAGCCAGAGUAUAAAACUUUCUUAAAUAUUUCACCAUUCCACCAACUUAUUUGGAAUUUUCUCAAGUACACCUACAUCAGCCCUAUCCUAUACUCAGGUGUUCAAACUCACUGAACUACCAUGGGAAUCUUCUAAACAUGGACACAACAUAUCACAUAAAAGAAGAGGCUAUUUUUUUUUUUGAAACGGAGUUUCACUUUGUCUCCCAGGCUGGAGUGCAGUGGCGCAAUCUUGGCUCACUGCAACCUCCGCCUCUGGGGGUUCAAUCAAUUCUCUUGCCUCAGUCUCAUCAGUAGCUGGGUCUACAGGCACACUCUACCACACCCACUGAUUUUUUUGUAUUUCAGUAGAGACAGGUUUUUACCACAUUGCCCAGGCUGGUCUCAAACUCCUGAGCUCAGGCAAUCUGCCAGCCUCGGCCUCCCAAAGUGCUAGGAUUACAGGCAUGAGCCACAGC